rnacentral:rRNA from 1 species
GACGAACGCUGGCGGCGUGCCUCAUACAUGCAAGUCGAACGCAGUGGGGACGGGUGAGUAACACGUGGGUAACCUCCCAUCAGAGGGGAUAACACUUGGAAACAGGUGCUAAACCGAUACUGAUGGAUGGACCCGCGGUGCCUUAGCUAGUUGGUGAGGUAACGGCUCACCAAGGCCACGAUGCAUAGCCGCCCUGAGAGGGGGAUGGGCCACACGGGGACUGCGACACGGCCCAGACGCAUACGGGAGGCAGCAGGAGGGAAACGUCGCCAAUGGACGAAAUACUGAACGAGCAAAGCCGGGUGAGGGAAGAAGGUUUUCGGAUCGUAAAACUCAGUUGUUAGAGAAGCGGUAUCUAACCAGAAAGCCACGGCUAACUACGUGCCAGCCGCCGCGGUAAUUC